rnacentral:rRNA from 1 species
UGGAGUAAAAGGCUAUGGNUCAACCAUAGUGUGCUCUGGAAACUGACUGACUUGAGUGCAGAAGGGGAGAGUGGAAUUCCAUGUGUAGCGGUGAAAUGCGUAGAUAUAUGGAGGANCACCAGUGGCGAAAGCGGCUCUCUGGUCUGUCACUGACGCUGAGGCUCGAAAGCGUGGGUAGCGAACAGGAUUAGAUACCCUGGUAGUCCACGCCGUAAACGAUGAGUGCUAGGUGUUAGGCCCUUUCCGGGGCUUAGUGCCGGAGCUAACGCAAUAAGCACUCCGCCUGGGGAGUACGACCGCAAGGUUGAAACUCAAAGGAAUUGACGGGGGCCCGCACAAGCGGUGGAGCAUGUGGUUUAAUUCGAAGCAACGCGAAGAACCUUACCAGGUCUUGACAUCCCGAUGCUAUUCUUAGAGAUAGGAAGUUACUUCGGUACAUCGGAGACAGGUGGUGCAUGGUUGUCGUCAGCUCGUGUCGUGAGAUGUUGGGUUAAGUCCCGCAACGAGCGCAACCCUUAUUGUUAGUUGCCAUCAUUAAGUUGGGCACUCUAGCGAGACUGCCGGUAAUAAACCGGAGGAAGGUGGGGAUGACGUCAAAUCAUCAUGCCCCUUAUGACCUGGGCUACACACGUGCUACAAUGGUCGGUGCAACGAGUUGCGAGCUGGUGACGGCAAGCUAAUCUCUGAAAGCCGAUCUCAGUUCGGAUUGGAGGCUGCAACUCGCCUCCAUGAAGUCGGAAUCGCUAGUAAUCGCGGAUCAGCACGCCGCGGUGAAUACGUUCCCGGGCCUUGUACACACCGCCCGUCACACCACGAGAGUUUGUAACACCCGAAGUCGGUGAGGUAACCUUUUAG